rnacentral:tRNA from 1 species
UCGGGGGUCGUCUAAUGGCAGGACAGUGGGUUCUGGUCCCACUAAUCGGGGUUCGAAUCCCUGCCCCCGAGCCA